AGGAUUUAUUUUACAAAAUGGCUG
rnacentral:siRNA from 1 species